CACCCCAGAUGCUCCACCUGCAGAAAACGGGAACGACGCCACCCCAGAUGCUCAACCUGCAGAAAACGGGAACGCCGCCACCCCAGAUGCCCCACCUGCAGAAAAUGGGAACGAUGCCACAUGAUCCUGAUGGUUAUAUGUUCGUCCGUAGCGCUGUCCAUCAUUAGCUUCAUAUACAAGGGUUGGUACCCAAAGUUGCUGCUGCUACCAGAAGUGAAAUUUUCUCCUGCUUUUCAGGUACUAGCAUAAUAGGUACACACCAUCAUACAGAUAGAUCGUAGCCACCGUUUGUUCAUUAAAUUAAAUUUUGCUGAAUACUAGUAAGUACUAUACGGCGG
rnacentral:lncRNA from 1 species